CACCCUGAAAAUGUCUCUGGAUUCAAAGAAGUAGCGUCCAUGAAAAUGGAUUUGCAUCUAUGCAAUUCACAGACGAAUAGAGAGAUAAACAAACAGGAAAAAAAACAAAACAAAACAAAAAUCUCGGAAGCAACCCUGCCAAAUUGGGCAGCAUGUCAGGGAAAACACUCUAGUGACUGUAGGAAGCAUUCGAAAAUGACGCAUCAUAUAUAGGGUCGAUUGCGGGGCCGCCAACGGAGCAUUUUAAGCGCGGUAAUGGGCACCAAAGUUUUCCGAUCUCUGCAACGGGUGCAGUUGGCAGGACCCAUAUCGCAUCAACUCACCUCAAUGCUAUCAUACCUUGCACAAGAGGAAAGAAGAGGGAGGGUAAGAGAAAGAUUGAAGCUCGAGGUUCUGAAGCUUGUAGAAUAAAAAGGGAAAAUGUGCAGAUCGACAGAUUUCCAAAGCCCAGAACCGCCGCUUGUCAGGGUAUCCCAGCUUAAAUUCAUGCAGGCACGCCCCCAAAGCUGCAAACAUUUUCACAGCGUGCCUACGGAAUCAGUCCCAACCAACUCAUUGUCCCAAUUAAUUUGAUAUCUAAAUCGGAAAAAGAGCACGGCCAAUUUGUAGCAGUUGGCCCACGGUUCUCAGCACUCAAACGAAUUGUAACACGUUUACCCUUUCGUUACCAAUCCUGUGGUUGGACCUCGAGCCAAUGAGAAGCAGCCUCUAUAAAAUCCCUUGGUUUUUUUAUCUUCUCCUUCUUUCCUGCCUUGACCGAACCCCUGACGACAUCAAUUGCAAUGGACUCCAACAGUAACCGGCCGGGCUCUUUUGAGUCCGACGAGACCUAUGUUCUCGUAACAGGCACAAACAGCGGCCUCGGGUUCUCCAUCUGUUGUCGCAUAAUUGACGAAUUCCUCACAACACGCCCAGAAUCCAAGUGCCUAACACUUCUCUUUACCACCCGCAGCGCCAAAAAGAGUGCCGAAACCCUCUCCCUCCUCCAAGCACACCUUAAUAACUCUGCUGCCAAAUACGCAACGUCCAAGAACCGCGUCACGCUCAAACCGGAAAAUGUUGACCUGGCCAAUUUGCUGUCGGUGCGUGCCUUGUCACGUCGGUUGCGGGCCUCACUCCCGAAGCUGGACGCCGUCAUCCUGAAUGCUGGCACUGCUGGGUUCACCGGCAUCAAUCUCUUCAAGGCAUUAUAUCUUACCUUGACAGACCUCGUGAACACAGUCACAUACCCGUCGGCAUUUACACUCACCUGUUCAGGGGUUCUUGUCAAAAAACAAACCUCGCAGCCCGAUGAGCCUCCGCUGGGAGACAUCUUUUGCUCGAAUGUGUUUGGACACUACAUGCUCAAUCAUGCAUUGAUGCCCCUUCUUUCCGCCUCUGAAACCUCUCCGGGUCGCAUCAUCUGGAUAUCCAGCAUCGAAGCAACAAGCAAAAAUUUCGAUCUCUCAGACUUCCAAGCGCUCAAUACCCGAUCCGCCUACCAGGCUUCCAAGCACCUUACGGACGUCCUCGCUCUGACCUCAGAGCUCCCCAGCUCGUCGCCGUGGGUUGACACCUUCUUAUCCGCGUCGAAAACUACCACUGCUACGAAAUUACAGCAGAAUGGAACCGCACACCACGCCCCUACCAGCUCACGCCCAAAACCGAGCAUUUACGUCGCCCACCCAGGCAUCUGUGGCACGGCCAUCAUGCCCCUCGUUUUCCCCCUCUUCUACGCCAUGAUCGCUGUAUUCUGGCUCGCCCGCAUGUUCGGGUCCCCCUGGCACACUAUCUCAACCUACAGUGGCGCCUACGCGCCAGUCUGGCUAGCGCUCUCGCCCAAGCCUGUCUUGGAUGCGGCUGAGGAUGUCUAUGCGCGUUUAGGUGGUGGGAAACCAAAAUGGGGAUCAUCCUGUGACAGACUGGGUCGGAUAAGCGCCGUGCGUACGGAGGUGGAUGGUUGGGGUUAUGGCGGCGUGGUUGGUCCUGCUGUGUUGGAGGAGGACAAGAGGCGGAGAAGGAAGGUGGGGGCAAAAGAUUUGACGGCUGAGGAGA
rnacentral:sRNA from 1 species